ACCAAUUAGAACGAACCUCGGCAAAAUAAACAAAUGUUGGCGCUCAUUUAAAUGGGGUAGAAAAAUUACCAGGACCAAUUUGAAUAUAUAUACUUAUAUGGGCUUUUUUACAUUCUACGGCUCGCUGAUUAUUUUACUUUCAUGCAGAAAUGUGACACUUUACAUUCGAUGCCGGGCAAACACUCGUACGCCAUCGAGUACUAUAGCGAACCAAACGAGGAGAAUGAACUCAAAAUCCAAAUUCGCUGUCAAGCUCGCUCGAUAACGGGCAACGUAAAGUGACCCCAGUUCUUCAAAAAGUAAAAACCAAAACCAAGCUGCCGAGUAACAGAUUCCUAAUUAUCCGAAUUAAAUACCUUUUAAUGUUUAUAAAAAGUUAAACGAUAAUGAACUCCAUCAAUUUCAUUCUAUUUAUAACUUUCCCACAUGCAUUACAUAAUUAUGACUAGCACAUCAAAUACGUGAUAACUAAAAACUAACUGUGCGUACAAACGUGGAAAAGGAUUUUCGCUUCGAUCAUUUGAAAGCUUAUAAUUUGAAUCCUCUCAGCAUAAUUUGAAAAAUGUCAUUGGCAAGUCCGAUAUAUGUUUAUUAGAAGUAUUUUUGUUUUUUGCAAUAUU